rnacentral:rRNA from 1 species
AUGAGUAUCAUCUGCUGGAACUGUCGAGGUUUGGGGUCGGACUCGACAGUUGGCGAGCUUCGCUGGCUUGUGAAGCUUUACCGCCCCUCCCUCAUCUUUCUUUCGGAGACGAAGAUGAGGGAUUCUCGAGUGAGGAACUUCAUGUGGUCUCUGGGUUUUGCUGGAUGUUUUGUUGUUAGUAGUGCGGGUCUUAGUGGUGGCUUGGCCUUGUUUUGGUCAUCCUCUGCAGAAGUGUCAGUUGAAGCGGCUAAUAAGCGUUGUAUUGAUGCUCGGGUGAAACUGAAUGAGGGCGUGCACUGGCGUGCGACCUUUGUAUAUGGGGAAACAAGGCGGGAAGACGGACCUCAGUUCUGGGAGCUUCUUCGUCGGUUGCAGCCUGCUUGGAAUGGCCCAUGGCUAUGUUGUGGGGAUUUUAAUGAGGUCCUCUCAGAGGAUGAACACUUGGUUCAUCGGGAUCGCUCAAAGACUCAGAUUUCAGCCUUUAGAGAUUGCCUGAUGGACUGUGGGUUAACUGACUUGGGCUGCUUGGGUCCUAAAUUUACAUGGUGCAACAGGCAGGACACAAAUAGCCAUGUCAAGUGCCGGCUUGACCGGGCCGUGGCAAAUGCAGCUUUUACCAAUUUGUUUGAUAGUUGUGGUGUUGAGAACCUCAUUGCCACUACUUAA